UAAAUAACUAAAUAUAUAUAGAAAAAUAAAUACUGGCACAUAUAAUUCUUAUUUCCCAACGUGGGUUUGUCAGACCCACAGGGACAGCGCUGUGGUUUGUGGGCUCUUCUCCUAGCAACUCCUAUUAACGUCAGACUCACUUGGGCAGCUGCAUCUUUGUACCCCACACCGAGAGUUUACUACUUGGCGCUGUUUUAUGUGUAGAUUUCACGUGCCUGUAUCUCUGGUUAUUUGCACCAGGUCUACUUCAAUUUCCUGUCAUCAUUCAACCACUUUUAAUAACAGCUUUAGGCUAUUGCAUAGUGAAUGUCUCUGCCUUAGUUGUUCGUAUUUGGAAAAAAGAUGAAGAUACGGUCCCUGCCCCAAGGAACCUAUAAUUAAAACAAGACCAGCAUUAUAGAAACAUAUAUACUAGCUGGCCUGCAACUGGAUGGUCUGUUUCAUUUUGUUUUGACGUACCACACAAGGCAGCGUUUAGCAGAUGUUGGGAAAUGAGCUCUCCGAGUUUUUCAUAUAAACAUACAGCAGAGAUGUAAGGAUAUGAAUUAAUUUCAUCAGCAAAUGUGGAUAUUAAUGUCAUCAGGCAUUUUCUAAUGUUUGUGCCUAUUCUGUUGCACUUUGAGUCCUUCUGGACAAAAACAUGGAAACAUCUUGAGAGAUACCUAAUCUAAUCGGAUAUCUAUCUGGCAAUGCUUUCUAGCAUAGCACUGAUGUUUUGUUCUCUUGUAUUAAAGGUGCUGCUUUGUGCCAGCCUACCAACCAAAAGAAAUAAAAGAAGAAGAAGAAAAGGGUGUAAACUCAUCACAGACCCUCCAUACACAAGGCUGAUGAUAAAACAGAAGAUGUUUUAUCCAGUUACAAAGCCUGCACGUGGCUUCCUCCUCUGAUGAGCUGGCUGAGCCAAAACAGUACCUCACUAAAUAGAAAUAGCAGCCUCUGAAGGUACUGAUGGGUACAGAGUGAAAGAGUGGGGUCUUGGUCUGAACGCUACAAGAGGACAUCAUAGCCAUUGCAAAUCAGUAAGGUUGAACAAUAUGACAAGGCAGAGGAGAAGUGAUUUGAUGAGAAAUGUGAGUCGAGUGAAUGUGCAAAAAUGCAGGGAAAGUGAAAAGGCAGAUGGAUAGUGGAUUUUUAUUUUCCAGCGUUACCUCUGUGUCAGUUAACUAUCAGUUAACUGUCUUUGUUGACUCUUUGAGUUCUCUACCUCUUCUUUAUUUCAAUAAUAUGGAUGCUCGCAUGCAUCCAAACAGCAAAACAUACAGAUGUGAAUUCUCCCUGUACCUCCAAAAUGCUAUAUUAGCACAGCACUAAAUCUGAAAUAACGCACCCUGCCUCUCAACAGAAACUAAGGAUCAGCUUCAUGCUAAUGGCUUUUGAGCUGCCUGAAAGUGAGUUUUAUCUGCCCACAAUGUACUUUGUAGAUCUAUCCUCAUUGGGUCUAAUUUGGAAGAAGCAAUAAAGCUUUCCUAAUGCA